GAUGAACGCUAGCGGUGCGCCUAACACAUGCAAGUCGAGCGGGAUUAUACGAGUUGAAACUUUCGGGUGAAUACAUGUAUAUGAGAGCGGCGAACGGGUGAGUACUACCUUGGUACCUGCCCCCAAGUCAGGGAUAGCCAUUGGAAACGAUGAUUAAUACCGGAUGUGCUGGAAACAGUAAAGAUUUAUCGCUUGGGGAGGGGCCUCGGUCCUAUCAGCUAGUUGGUAAGGUAAAAGCUUACCAAGGCAAUGACGGGUAGCUGGUCUGAGAGGACGAUCAGCCACAAUGGAACUGAGACACGGUCCAUACUCCUACGGGAGGCAGCAGUGAGGAAUCUUCCGCAAUGGGCGAAAGCCUGACGGAGCGACACCGCGUGAAGGAUGAAGGCCUAACGGUUGUAAAACUUCUUUUCUGAAGGAGCAUAAUGAGAGUACUUCAGGAAUAAGGGACGGCUAACUACGUGCCAGCG
rnacentral:rRNA from 1 species